AGUUUUAUGCGUGUAAGAUGUGAAAUAAACUUUUUCAGAGGUUAUCCGAGGUUUGAUUAUUGCUAGAUGAAAACUUUACCCAAUACCCCGCCUUCACGACUUGCAAUAUAGUCGGUAAUGGCAAUUUUUGUUGGUCUCUAAGGAGA
ensembl:snRNA U4 U4 spliceosomal RNA